CUGCCGGCAACGUAGGAUCCGAGCUGCCUCUUCGACCUGCACCCCAGCUCAUGGCAACGCUGGAUCCUUAACCCACUGAGCGAGGCCAGGGAUCAAACCCGCAACUUCAUGGUUCCUGGUCCGAUUCGUUUUCUGCUGUGCCACGAUGGGAACUCCCAAGAUUAUCUGUCUUUAAAUCUAUCCACUAACACUAGUGUCUGUAGGUGGGGGAGAGUAAACGUGUUGACCCAAAGUUGCAACUCCCAAGAAGAAACCUCACGUCGGGUUGCAGGAAAGCAACAAACCUCUACAGGCUGGAGAGGAGAAUGUGUGGGACAAGCAGGGCCUCAUGAUUUCAGCUACUUGCUUGGGCCUUCCCAAGCCCCACUGUGUGGGUUGAGGACGACGUGGAGCCACUGUAAUAAUUUUUACACGAGUUACUGAAAAGGAACGCUGUUCUUGCUCCUGUGGUGACCAAUUAAUUGAUGAGAUUUGAGAGUUCUUGGAAGAAAGAAGAAACGGAAGUUCCAAAGAAGAGACAGGAGGUCUCUCUCUCUCUCUCUCUCUAUAUAUAUAUAUAUAUNNNNNNNNNNNNNNNNNNNNNNNNNUUUUUUUUUUUGGCCUUUUUUUUUUAGGACUGUAUGCUCAGCAUAUGGAAGUUCCCAGUUGGGGGUCGAAUCAGAGGUGCAGCUGCCAGCCUAGGCCACAGCCACAACCACAGCAAAGUCGGAUCCAAGCCACAUCUGUGACCUACUCCACAGCUCAUGGCAAUGCUGGAUCCUUAACCCACUGAGCGAGGCCAGGGAUUGUACCCAUAUCCUCAUGGAUACUAGUCGGAUUCGUUUCCGCUGAGCCACAAUGGGAACUCCCUGCUUUAAAGCACUUUUAAUGAGACAUGGAAUGAGUAGCGUUGAGGUAGGGAAAUGCCCAGGAACCAGCCUGAAGGGUGGGCUCAGGAAGGUGUUUCUGGUCAACCCCUCUUGUUUUUCAGAUUUUUUUUUUUUCCAGGGUCAGGGCUGAGGGGCUCCCAGUCACAGAGCCCAAUCAGGCCAUGAUGAUUGCACAAAUUACAAACAUCUACCGCCAACCCAAUUAGCCUUUUUCGAGUGUUAGAACUUGCACAUUUGAGGUCAAGUUCUGUUGGACACAGAGAGGAAGGGUAUCUGGGAAAGGACAGACUUUUCCCAGAAACUCUCUGGCACCCAGCCGCCCUCUCCCCAUUUCAGAUUUGGGAACACAUCCAAAGCAAGGCACCAUGAUGAAGGCGGCUCAGAUACCCUGGGGAAGCUUUCUAGAGGAAAUCCAUUCAAUUGCCUCGGCAUAUGAAUUGGUCCAUUCUCCUUGUGUCCAGCACCGGGUUAGAUGCUCAAGUAGGAGUUGGGGGGUCAGGAAACUUGGCUGGAUCCCUGUGUUUUCCCUGUGUGGGAGGGGAACCAUUCUGUCUUCAAGCUCUGUGGAUUCAGACUGGGGGUUCAGGGGUGAGAAAGACCUGCCCCUAUGCUGGAGGGGAUCACGGUCCAUGGGAGAGACAAACGACAGACCUGGCUCAAUGAUCCUUCUGCUCCGGGGCUCGACCCCACCUGGACCGAUGCUGCCUCUUGAUCCCACACACAGUGCUCAUUAAGCCCCCUCUAUACUAUUAUAUCCCCCCAGGCCCCAACGGGCUGCCGGAUGGGCUAUCUGGUCAACCCAUCCUCCAAAUAACAAUUUAUCUUGAUUAUUGAGAUUUUUGGUACUUGCUGAAAAUUUGCUCUCAUAGCAAAUGCCUAACUUAAAGAACCCUAAUUGAGGCCCGAACAGACCUCACACAGCCAUACAUAUAUAAGCUGCUGCAGGCCAGAGGGGUGAGUGCUUAGAACAAAGCCCAUGAGAGUUCAGAGGGACACCUGAGUCCUUCUGGGGGCAGCAUUUCCCAGAGUGUGCUCUGUGCAACAGCACUCCUGUGAGGCGCUCCUCCAAAAAUAAAAGAUUUUGUGGACAAAUAAGUCUGGGGAACCGUGCACGGUUUAUCUUCCGCUUUAGAUAUUCGUGAUGGACAUAAGCAAGCUGAAGGCUCUGAGACUCUUAUAUGAAGAAACGUUAUUUUCUUAGCCCAACCUCUUUGGCUACUUAACGGGGUCACCCUGGGCAAGUCUAUUAAUGUUUCUUAAAGUGAAAUGACAGGCAGUCAUCUCAGAAUCUCUGGGGAAGCGCUUAUUAGAAAUACAGAGCCACCUGUCCUGCUGCAGGCUUUCUAGGACCCAGGAAUCUGCUUUGAACAAGCUCCCAGUUGAUCGUGAUGCAUGCUCAAGUUAAAAACCCCAGAUCAACCUUCCCAGGCCCUUGGCUCUUUCUCAGAACAUUGUAAAGAUCAAGAGAUAAACUUGACCAAGAGAUUAGUCAAAAAGAAACCUAGAGACUUCCAACUCAUUCUAUGAGGCUACUAUUGUCCUAAUAACAAAACCAGGCAAAGACACCACAGGAAAACUACAGAUGAAAAUAUGUCAUGAAUAUACAUGAAAAAAAUCUUCAACCAAAUACUAACAGAUCAAAUCGAGCAACCUAUCAAAAGCACUACACACCAUGACUGAGUGGGAUUUACCCCAGAAACGCAAGAGUGGUUUAACAUCCAAAAAUCAAUUAAUAUGACAUGCCAUGUCAACAGAAUUAGAGACAAAAGCCAUAUGAUUAUCUCAGUACAUACAGAAAAAGCAUUGGACAAAACCCAACACUCCUUCUUAAUAAAACCACUCAAGCUAAGAAUAGUAAAGAACUUCCUCAACUUGAUAAAAGGCAUCUACCAAAAAACCCCAUAUUUUUUUAAUGGUGAAAGACUCAAUGAUUUCCCUCUAAGAUCAGGAACAAAAAAACUAGGCUGAUCACUCUUGCCUUAUCUAUUCAACACUGUACUUCUCAACAAAGUGUAGAAUGGUGGUUGCCAAGGGCUGAGAGAGGGGAGAUAGGGAGCUGUUGUUCAUUGGGCAUAAAGUUUCAGUUAAGAGGUGAGUAAGUUCUAGAGCUUGUCUGUACAACAUGGUGCCCAGAGUUAAAAAUACUGGAUUGCUCACUUAAAAUCUUUCUUAAGUAGUUCCCAUUGUGGCACAGUGGAAAUGAAUCCGGCUAGGAACCAUGAGGUUGCGGGUUCGAUCCCUGGCCUUGCUCAGUGGGAUAAGGAUCCGGUGUUGCUAUGGCUAUGGUGUAGGCCAGCGGGUGCAGCUCUGAUUCAACCCCUAGCCUGGGAACCUCCAUACGCUGCAGGUGUGGCCCUAAAAAAAGAAAAAAAAAAGCCAAAAAAAUUUUUUUUCUUAAGAGGGUAGAUUUCAUGUUAAGUGUUCUUAUCAUGAAAAAAACAAAGCAAAACAAAAGACACAAAGAAACUUUUUGGAGAUUUAUUACCUUGACUGUAGUGACGGGUUUACGGGUGUGUGCUUCUGCCCAAAUUUAUCAAAUUUGUGUACAUUAAACAUCUGCAGUUUUUUUGUACAUCAAUUGUAAUUCAAUAAAGCUCUUUUAAAACACC
rnacentral:lncRNA from 1 species